rnacentral:rRNA from 1 species
GACGAACGCUGGCGGCGUGCCUAAUACAUGCAAGUAGAACGCAGUUGCGAACGGGUGAGUAACGCGUGGGUAACUGCCUCAUAGCGGGGGAUAACUAUUGGAAACGAUAGCUAAUACCCCAUACUGUGAGAUGGACCUUCGUUGUGUUAGCUAGUUGGUGAGGUAAAUGCUCACCAAGGCGACGAUACAUAGCCGACCUGAGAGGGAGAUCCGCCCCCAUGGGACCGGUACACGGGCCAGACGCCUACGGGAGGCAGGAGUAGGGAAUUUUUGGACAUGGGCGGAAGUCUGACUGAGCAACGCCGCGUGGGUUAAGAAGGUUUCCGGAUCGGAAAGCUCUGUUGAUAGAGAAGCGGUAACUAACCAGAAAGGGACGGCUAACUACGUGCCAGCAGCCGCGGUAAUUC